UUUGUGGCCCUUUGCUGUACCCUCUCUGUCACCCCGUUGAUCGCCAGGGUUGAUUUGGCUGAUCUGGCUGGCUAGGUGAGUGUCCCCUUCCUCCCUCAGCACUCCAUGUGCGUCCCUCCCAAAGUUGCACGCUCAGUGGAAGAGAACGACCUUCCCCGAUAGAGACGUACCAUUCAUCAGUCAAGGGUAUACGGUAGCUGCACUCCCUGGCUAGAACCUCCAAACAAGGUCACCUCUCACAUGAUCAGACACCUACAUUUCUCCAAGGGUUUGAUGUGACACCCUCAGAU
rnacentral:sRNA from 1 species